GCCGGGGUGGCGGAAUGGCAGACGCGGCGGUUUCAAAAACCGCAGUCCUCACGGGCGUGUGGGUUCGAGUCCCACCCCCGGCACCA
rnacentral:tRNA from 4 species